AGCUUUGUGCAGUGACAAUAUCAUAGCCAAUGAGGUUUAUCUGAGGUAUAAUUAUUGCUAAUUGAAAACUUUUCCCAAUAUCCCACUAUGAUGACUUGAAAUGUAGUCAGCAUUGGCAAUUUUUGACAGUCUCUACAGGGA